CUUCUCAGCAGUACCAGCUAUAUCACCGCUGCUUUUAUGCUUGCUUCUGGACAUCCUGGGCUUGAAAUAAAGAUACUAUACUACUGUAGUCUAUAUAAA